rnacentral:rRNA from 1 species
UGACCGUACAUGACUCCUGACUGUGAUUCGGGUUCUGGCUGUUCGCUUUUUACGGGCUUAACACGUGCCCGUCGAGGGGAAACGACAUCGAAAGCUUGCUUUUGAUGGGCGUCGACCGGCGCACGGGUGGAGUAACGCGUAUCCCAACCUGCCCACCACUUGGGGAUAACCUUGCGAAAGUAAGACUAAUACCCAAUGAUAUCUCUAGAAGACAUCUGAAAGAAAUUAAAGAUUUAUCGGUGAUGGAUGGGGAUGCGUCUGAUUAGCUUGUUGGCGGGGUAACGGCCCACCAAGGCAACGAUCAGUAGGGGUUCUGAGAGGAAGGUCCCCCACAUUGGAACUGAGACACGGUCCAAACUCCUACGGGAGGCAGCAGUGAGGAAUAUUGGUCAAUGGACGAGAGUCUGAACCAGCCAAGUAGCGUGCAGGAUGACGGCCCUAUGGGUUGUAAACUGCUUUUAUAAGGGAAUAAAGUGUGUCUCGUGAGACUUUUUGCAUGUACCUUAUGAAUAAGGACCGGCUAAUUCCGUGCCAGCAGCCGCGGUAAUACGGAAGGUCCGGGCGUUAUCCGGAUUUAUUGGGUUUAAAGGGAGCGUAGGCCGGAGAUUAAGCGUGUUGUGAAAUGUAGACGCUCAACGUCUGCACUGCAGCGCGAACUGGUUUCCUUGAGUACGCACAAAGUGGGCGGAAUUCGUGGUGUAGCGGUGAAAUGCUUAGAUAUCACGAAGAACUCCGAUUGCGAAAGGCAGCUCACUGGAGCGCAACUGACGCUGAAGCUCGAAAGUGCGGGUAUCGAACAGGAUUAGAUACCCUGGUAGUCCGCACGGUAAACGAUGGGAUGCCCGCUGUUGGUCUGAAUAGGUCAGCGGCCAAGCGAAAGCAUUAAGCAUCCCACCUGGGGAGUACGCCGGCAACGGUCCAACACUAAGGAAUGGACGCACGCCGAUCGUACACUGCAGACUAGUUCCCGACUGAAAGCGUUA